rnacentral:snRNA from 1 species
GUUCACUAUGGCAGCACAUAUACUAAAAUUGGGACGAUACAGAGAAGAUUAGCAUGGUCCCUGUGCAAGGAUGACUGGCAAAUUUUGCCAAUCGAUCCAUAUAUAA